rnacentral:rRNA from 1 species
AUGAGUAGUACAAAAUGUGCAAUCCUCAGCUGGAACAUUAGGGGGCUGAACACACCGGCCAGGCGAACGGCUGUGCGAGAGAUCGCAGAAGCACAGCGAGCAACCAUCCUCUGUUUGCAAGAAACCAAAUUAGACACUUGGACGCCCAGUGUUGUCAGAGAGCUGGGAGGAGCUAGAUUAGAUGGAUGUGAUGUUCUACCAGCAAUUGGUACUAGGGGAGGGAUUGCUGUCCUCUGGGACAAGAGUCUGAUCAGUUUUGCGACGCACACAGUUGGGAGUUUUUCAACCACGGGGAAGGUGUCUCUGCUUCAGGAUGGACUGGAGUUCUGGCUAACAACAGUGUAUGAGCCAGUUGAUGAUGCAAGAAAGGAUGCCUUUCUAGCCGAGCUCGCCCACGCUGGACCACCACAAGGAGAACCCUAG